rnacentral:ncRNA from 2 species
GGGUGUCGUCGGCAUUUCGCACGACGACAGGUUCAUGCGAUGGUCGGGCCGCCUCG